rnacentral:tRNA from 2 species
GCCGGGGUCCCAUAGUCUGGCUAGUGGGUCGGCCUCGAGAGCCGAUGCCCCUUGCGGGGCGCGUGGGUUCAAAUCCCACCCCCGGCG